rnacentral:siRNA from 1 species
CAACUUAAACACGGACUUGUCGC